UUUGAACUGAUUCAUUCGCGAAAAAAGUUCCAUUUGUGUGUGUUUGAACGCUCGGAGACAGUGCGACGGUUUAUACUGCUUUUGAAAUUGUUUUCGUUGGCGAAGUAAAAAUAGACAAUUAAGGAGUUGUACCUGAGGGAGAGCAGGAGGAUGGGAGAAGUCCAGGAGGCACCGGUGAUGUGGAGAUAACGUCAAAAAUGGAUGAGGAGAUACAGAUUGUGCUUUGAGAAGUUCAGAAACACUGAAUAAUGGACACAUCCAAAAGGAAAAUCAUGAAAAAGCAUGGCGUGGAAAAUACAAGGAGGAUAAGGACUUGGUGAGAAACUAUUAAAGGACAAAGACAUAUGGACUCACAGCCAAGAGUUUGGUGAUGGCAUCAGGCUGGGCACGGCUGACACUGCUGUAACAUGGCCAGACGAUCCUCCUCUUGGUGGUGGCAAUGGUGCCUGACUCUUCUGUGCUCUGUGAGCGCACCGCAAGCAUACACCAGUCAUAAGAGGGGCCUGUGGAUAGCGUCUCCCCAGUGUAGAACUCCCAUGUCGUCAGAUUGGGGAUCGAAAUCAGCGGUUUCAACACUGCCUAAAGGGAAAACAAAGGAAUCAUUAUUUGUUGGAUUUUUCAGUUCUGACUUUACAUAAAGGUGCUGUAAGUAAUAUUAGUCACCGUAGAAUUUCUGCCAGAAUUAACCACUGAAUUAAUGGCCCUCCCUCUUUCCAAAAUCUUAUCCUAUGAAGGUAUUGGUCUACCAUUAUGCAUGUUUACAUGCACUCAUUUUCUGAGUCAAUUUUGUCAAAUGGAUGAAUCCGAUCGGAUUUCAAAUUAUGAAAGUUCAGUUUAUAUAAAUUUUACAAUCUAAUUCACAUUUAGUCAUUUACAUGUUCAUAACAAGCAUUCUGAAGAAAACUUUAACAUAUACGCAGUGCCCAGGCACCAUGUUCAGAACCAGAGAAAGCCACCAUGAUAAUGUCAUCUGCGCUAAAAAACAAAAAAAAAGCUGCCAUAUUAUCA